rnacentral:tRNA from 2 species
GGCUCCAUGGUCAAGCGGUUAAGACUCAGGCCUCUCACGCCUGCUACUCGGGUUCGAAUCCCGAUGGAGUCACCA